GGAUAUAGCUCAGUUGGUAGAGUGUUUGCCUUACAUGUAAAAGGCCCUGGGUUCAAUCGGCAGCACCA
rnacentral:tRNA from 1 species